CGGUAACGGAACAAAACCAAUGACACGAUAAGCUCACUUACAGUUGUUGAUUUAUACUAAACAAACACAAUCUUCUCUUUACCCAAUGAAAGCACUUUACCCAAAUAACAUUUAUUAAACUUAUCUCCUGUCGAUUCUUCCUAUCCUCCAUACUCUCUCAUUCACCCCAUCUCACUCUCCCCCUAGCUCUCUCCGGUCAAACACUCCCUCUCUUUCUCUGGUCGAUCCACCCUCCUCGCUCUUCCCUCACUCUCUCCGUCUCAGGUCGACCCAUCAUCCGGAAUGUCGACGAGUAACUCAUCAAUUCCAGAGUCGCCGUACGUCCUACUUCUCCAAUCAAGUCGCCGACCACCGUCCUUCCACCGUCCUUGCACCGUCGCCAUCGUCCUCCGUUUAUAACCCCAUCGUCUCCCAUCCUACUUUUUCUUAUUUUUCUUCCAAAAGUUUUAUUGUGUUAUUUUUAUUUAUCUUGUAGAUCUACAAUUCUGGGUUUUAAAAUCCUUCAAUUCUCUAAUUUGUUAUAUUUCUAUGUGAACUGAGUUGUUAAUAAUUUUGCAGCUCCACACAAAGAGGAUAUCAGAAUGUUGUAAAAGCAGAAGAAGUGAAGAUCUUUUGCAUGAGCAGAAGAAGACGAGCUUCCAGAUCUAGUGUUUCAAGUGUAAUUUUUUUGUUACUUAAGAGUUCUUUAGUACAUUUUAGGGUUCUGGGUAUUUUCCUGAGUUCCAUGUUGUAAUUUUUUGUUGCUGUUUUUACUUUUUGUUGUAUUAAUAUCAUUUAAAUUUGAUUUUAAUGCAAUCAAAAGUAGUUAUUUUGUCCCAAAUAUUUAAUGAAAUUUGGGGGAUCAUGGGAAAUCACCAUCAACUAAGGAGCGAACCAAAAUGGCUAUUCAACGAACAGAACAAUCCUUAUUCGUGGAUGUAUCCACGACAAAGGACAGCUGUUGCGUAGGGGUUUGUCCUUAACAACUUUCUUUGUAAGUGCGGCCGUGCAAGUCUAUUAGGUUUUUUUAGAGCUUCUUUGAUUAGUUCUUAGUAGCACAGACUCUCGAAUUUGAUGUGACCGGACAUAGAUAUUAACAGUAUACCAUCAACAAAACCAAUUGCGAAGCCAAAAAGAUUUUAUUCGAGUAUAGAUAGUUUGCUUCUUUAGUAGAUUUCUUCUUAAACUAUUUUAUGUGGUCUUCUCCGUUGGUUUUUAAUUUAAUGCUUUCAUGAUAGCGAACUGAACUUGCUCGGCAGUGAUCCCCUUGAAUGAUAGAGACACUUAGAAAAACUCCACAAAAAGUUAAAGAAAAAGAAGAACGAAAAUCAUUGAAGAAGAAGAAAACAACACAAGGAAGAAAAAAAACAUUCCGACAUUCCUGAAAGGUACACUCUUUCACUCUUUCUUCUUUCUGGGUUCAGGUUUUUCAAUUUUGGCGAAGGGGCUUGCAGGUG
rnacentral:lncRNA from 1 species